rnacentral:rRNA from 1 species
CAAUAGCGUAUAUUAAAGUUGUUGCAGUUAAAAAGCUCGUAGUUGGAUUUCUGGUGGGAGCGAUCGGUCUGGCGCUUAGCGCGAGUACUUGCUUCGUCUCCGGCCAUCCUUGGGGAGAGUCUGUCUGGCAUUAAGUUGUCGGGCAGAGGAUCCUCAUCGUUUACUGUGAAAAAAUUAGAGUGUUCAAAGCAGGCUUACGCCGUUGAAUAUAUUAGCAUGGAAUAAUAAGAUAGGACUUUGGUACUAUUUUGUUGGUUUGCGCACCAAAGUAAUGAUUAAUAGGGACAGUUGGGGGUAUUCGUAUUCCGUUGUCAGAGGUGAAAUUCUUGGAUUUACGGAAGACGAACUACUGCGAAAGCAUUUACCAAGGAUGUUUUCAUUAA